rnacentral:rRNA from 1 species
CCUACGGGAGGCAGCAGUGGGGAAUUUUGGACAAUGGGCGAAAGCCUGAUCCAGCAAUGCCGCGUGCAGGAUGAAGGCCUUCGGGUUGUAAACUGCUUUUGUACGGAACGAAACGGUCUUUUCUAAUACAGAAGGCUAAUGACGGUACCGUAAGAAUAAGCACCGGCUAACUACGUGCCAGCAGCCGCGGUAAUACGUAGGGUGCAAGCGUUAAUCGGAAUUACUGGGCGUAAAGCGUGCGCAGGCGGUUAUGUAAGACAGUUGUGAAAUCCCCGGGCUCAACCUGGGAAUUGCAUCUGUGACUGCAUAGCUAGAGUACGGUAGAGGGGGAUGGAAUUCCGCGUGUAGCAGUGAAAUGCGUAGAUAUGCGGAGGAACACCGAUGGCGAAGGCAAUCCCCUGGACCUGUACUGACGCUCAUGCACGAAAGCGUGGGGAGCAAACAGGAUUACGAUACCCUGGUAUCCACGCCCUUAAACGGAUCGUACUAGUUGGUUGGUUGUUCUACUCUCUACUCUAGUAACGAACG